GAUAGACGCUGGCGGCGUGCUUAACACAUGCAAGUCGAACGAAGUUUUUCCUUCGGGAGAAACUUAGUGGCGGACGGGUGAGUAACGCGUGGGUAACCUGCCCUGUACAGGGGGACAACAGCUGUAAACGGCUGCUAAUACCGCAUAAGCCCUUAGCACUGCAUGGUGCAUAGGGAAAAGGAGCAAUCCGGUACAGGAUGGACCCGCGUCUGAUUAGCCAGUUGGCAGGGUAACGGCCUACCAAAGCGACGAUCAGUAGCCGAUCUGAGAGGAUGUACGGCCACAUUGGGACUGAGACACGGCCCAGACUCCUACGGGAGGCAGCAGUGGGGAAUAUUGCACAAUGGAGGAAACUCUGAUGCAGCGACGCCGCGUGAGUGAAGAAGUAUUUCGGUAUGUAAAGCUCUAUCAGCAGGGAAGAAAAUGACGGUACCUGACUAAGAAGCACCGGCUAAAUACGUG
rnacentral:rRNA from 1 species